rnacentral:rRNA from 1 species
GACGAACGCUGGCGGCGUGCUUAACACAUGCAAGUCGAACGGAAAGGCCCUGCUUUUGUGGGGUGCUCGAGUGGCGAACGGGUGAGUAACACGUGAGUAACCUGCCCUUGACUUUGGGAUAACUUCAGGAAACUGGGGCUAUACCGGAUAGGAGCUCCUGCUGCAUGGUGGGGGUUGGAAAGUUUCGGCGGUUGGGGAUGGACUCGCGGCUUAUCAGCUUGUUGGUGGGGUAGUGGCUUACCAAGGCUUUGACGGGUAGCCGGCCUGAGAGGGUGACCGGCCACAUUGGGACUGAGAUACGGCCCAGACUCCUACGGGAGGCAGCAGUGGGGAAUAUUGCACAAUGGGCGGAAGCCUGAUGCAGCAACGCCGCGUGCGGGAUGACGGCCUUCGGGUUGUAAACCGCUUUCGCCUGUGACGAAGCGUGAGUGACGGUAAUGGGUAAAGAGGCACCGGCUAACUACGUG